rnacentral:rRNA from 1 species
AGAGUUUGAUCAUGGCUCAGAACGAACGCUGGCGGCGUGGAUAAGACAUGCAAGUCGAACGGGACACUUUUUGUAGCAAUACAGAAGGUGUUCAGUGGCGCAAGGGUGCGUAACACGUGGGCAACCUGCCGGGAAGUGGGGGAUAGCUCGCCGAAAGGCGAAUUAAUACCGCAUGUGGCGAGGAAAGACAUCUUUCCGAAGCUAAAGUCGGGGCAACCUGACGCUUUCUGAUGGGCCCGCGGCCUAUCAGCUUGUUGGUGAGGUAACGGCUCACCAAGGCGAUGACGGGUAGCUGGUCUGAGAGGACGACCAGCCACACUGGAACUGAGACACGGUCCAGACACCUACGGGUGGCAGCAGUCGAGAAUUUUUCUCAAUGGGCGAAAGCCUGAAGGAGCGACGCCGCGUGAAGGAUGAAGGUCUUCGGAUUGUAAACUUCUGUCAUUAGAGAACAAUGUGUACGGAGUAACUACCCGUACAUUGAUAGUAUCUGAAGAGGAAGAGACGGCUAACUCUGUGCCAGCAGCCGCGGUAAUACAGAGGUCUCAAGCGUUGUUCGGAUUCAUUGGGCGUAAAGGGUGCGUAGGUGGUAGAAUAAGUCGGGUGUGAAAUCUCGGGGCUUAACCCCGAAACUGCACUCGAUACUGUUUUGCUCGAGGACUGGAGAGGAGAUUGGAAUUCAUGGUGUAGCAGUGAAAUGCGUAGAUAUCAUGAGGAAGACCAGUGGCGAAGGCGGAUCUCUGGACAGUUCCUGACACUGAGGCACGAAGGCCAGGGGAGCAAACGGGAUUAGAUACCCCAGUAGUCC